UGGGGCUGUCUCUCUGAGCUCUGUGCUUUCAGCUUCUUUACAGUGCUGCCUUGUUGCAUUCAUGUCAAGCAGCAUUGUACAGGGCUAUGAAAGAACUGAGACCCGUUCUUCACUUUAUUU
rnacentral:pre_miRNA from 15 species